UAGGCCACUGUCCAACUACUGGAUAAUCCGAAAGGCAGGUAGUGUGCCGGCGAUAUCGCUGCCAGUGUGAGACGGAGCCGGGACGCGGGCGAUGGCCUCCCCUCUCCCCAGCCGUGACCCGCUCCUUUUCCGUCCUGCGCCGGGUCCAGUGCACAUGGCCUGCUAGUGUCGCCGAGCCGGGACCUGUAAUUAGCGGCGACCCCAGCGUAGGAGCGGGCACCUUAGCCCCGUAGAGCGGUGAGAGAUGCAUCAGGCGGAGAACGCGUGUGACGGGCCGGAGCCAGACAUGGAGGAGGCGGAGGUGGAGGUGCCUGCCGAGGCCACCGAAGAGGAGGAGGACGAGGAAGACGACGAUGAGGAAGAGGAUGAGGAGGGCAUGGCAUUCAGCGACCCGGAGGACUUUGUAGACGACAUCAGCGAGGAGGAGUUGCUAGGUGAUAUCUUGAAAGAAUGUCCCCAAGAAGCAGAUGGCAUAGAUUCUGUGAUUGUGGUGGAUAACGUGCCGCAGGUUGGACCUGACCGUUUGGAGAAGCUAAAGAAUGUUAUCAAUAAGAUUUUCUCAAAAUUUGGAAAAAUUACUAAUGAAUACUAUCCAGACGCAGAUGGAUUAACAAAAGGGUAUAUAUUCUUGGAGUACGGAUCACCUGCUCACGCUCAGGAUGCUGUGAAGAAUGCGGAUGGCUAUAAAUUGGACAAGCAGCACACGUUCAAAGUGAAUCUAUUCACAGACUUUGAUAAAUAUAUGGUCAUUAGUGACGAGUGGGAAGUUCCUGAAAAACAGCCAUUUAAGGACUUUGGUAACUUGAGGUCAUGGCUUGAGGAUCCGGACUGCCGCGAUCAGUUCAGUGUUAUCUUUGAGUCCGGUGAUAGAACGACAAUCUUCUGGAAUGAUGUUAAAGAGCCAGUUCCGAUGGAGGAGAGACCUCGGUGGACUGAGACAUAUGUGCGCUGGUCUCCAAGAGGAACUUACCUGGCCACCUUUCAUCAAAGAGGAAUUGCUCUGUGGGGAGGGGAGAAGUUCAAGCAAAUCCAGAGGUUCAGCCACCAGGGGGUACAGCUCAUCGACUAUUCCCCAUGUGAAAGGUAUCUUGUUACAUUUAGCCCACUUAUGGACACCAAGGAUGAUCCCCAAGCCAUUAUCAUCUGGGACACGCUGACCGGACAGAAGAAGAGAGGAUUCCACUGUGAGAGUUCAGCACACUGGCCAAUCUUCAAGUGGAGUCACGAUGGAAAAUUCUUUGCCCGAAUGACCUUGGAUACGCUCAGUAUUUAUGAAACGCCUUCCAUGGGCUUGUUAGACAAGAAGAGUUUAAAGAUUACUGGAAUAAAAGACUUCUCAUGGUCUCCCGGUGGUAACAUCAUAGCAUUCUGGGUACCAGAGGACAAAGACAUCCCCGCCAGGGUGACUUUAAUGCAGCUGCCAACCAGACAAGAGAUCAGAGUGCGGAACUUGUUUAACGUUGUUGACUGCAAGCUGCACUGGCAGAAGAAUGGGGACUACCUGUGCGUGAAAGUAGACAGAACCCCUAAAGGGACUCAGGGCAUGGUAACCAACUUUGAGAUCUUCAGAAUGAGGGAGAAGCAAGUCCCAGUAGAUGUGGUUGAAAUGAAAGAUGGUAUCAUUGCCUUUGCCUGGGAACCCAAUGGAAGCAAGUUUGCUGUGCUCCACGGAGAAGUUCCCCGAAUAUCUGUCUCUUUCUACCAUGUCAAGAAUAAUGGGAAAAUCGAGCUGAUCAAGACUUAUGACAAGCAGCAAGCCAACACAAUCUUCUGGAGUCCUCAGGGGCAGUUCUUGGUUCUGGCAGGCUUGAGAAGCAUGAAUGGAGCACUUGCCUUUGUCGACACUUCAGACUGCACAAUAAUGAACAUUGCAGAGCAUUAUACAGCCUCCGACGUCGAGUGGGAUCCGACAGGUCGUUUCGUUGUCACUUCUGUGUCCUGGUGGAGCCACAAAGUUGAUAAUGCAUACUGGUUGUGGACAUUCCAAGGUCGUCUUCUCCAAAAGAAUAGCAAAGACCGGUUCUGUCAGCUUUUGUGGAGACCAAGACCUCCAACUUUGCUAAGUCAAGAUGAAAUAAAGACCAUUAAGAAGGAUUUGAAGAAGUACUCCAAGAUAUUUGAGCAGAAAGAUCGUUUGAGUCAAUCUAAGGCUUCAAAGGAACUGGUAGAGCGCAGAAGAACCAUGAUGGAGGAAUACAAGACGUACCGUGAGAUGGCACAGAAGAUGUACAUGGAGCAGAAAGAGGCCCGCUUGGAGCUCAGAGGAGGAGUGGAUACAGAUGAGCUCGACAGCAAUGUGGAUGAUUGGGAAGAGGAGACCAUUGAAUUCUUUGUCACUGAAGAAAUUAUACCACUAGAGGAGUAAUCUGAUACGGAUCUGCUUGACAAACUGAGUACACAGAAAAUGUGUGUUUAUUGUUCACUCAGCUGGAGUUGCGUGUUUUUAAAACUAAGGCAUCCCCUUGAAGUUUUCAGUCUUGCUAAGGAAAAUAUUAGCAUUCAGUGUCUACUUCCCAUUGCAGGAUUUGAGCAAACUGCUGUGGACUGGCUUGCUCGGUCAUGAACAUUAGGUAUAGAAAAUGUGCCACGUCACCAGUCGUGGCACUGCAUGUGUGUCUACUACUAUGUGACAUACCACCUGGUUGUUUUAUUAUGUGAGGGACUAGUAUUUUUCUCCCCCUCAUCUGUCCUCCCUCACUGCUGUUUUUCUGUCAUCACUGCCCUCCCCUAUUUGUCAUCUUAGUCUUCAUCUCUCAUAUCUCCCAGCGUGAGGGUGUGCUCCAGAUGCUGGCAAGAGGGAACAGUCUUAACAGCGCUGGUGGGAGAUGAGCGGUUGUCGGGCAGCCAGUGAGAGCUGGGAUGAGAGCGUUCUGUUUUCUGCAUCAGCAAUUCCCUACAAAAACAAACCGCUCCAAAGUUCAAUCUUAGUCCUUCUGCUGCGACCUUGAAUGGACAUAUUUCCUUUUCAAAGUUGUGCCUUUAAUCUUCAGUGGAGAUUUGAAUAAAGAGCGCUACUUUGUAAUUUCUAAAUUGUCUCUACCACCUCUUGAUCCAUCUUCGAUAAAGCAAAAGGAAACUCCUACUGCUGGUACGGCAAGAGCGAUUCUGCCUCACCAUGACUUUGCCACCGGAAGAUCGACGCACAUUGCUUCAGCUUCUGAAGAGGCUUUUCUACUUCCCUACUGAAUGGACAGUCGACUGUUCUAAGCGGCAGAUGAAUAGUGAGGAUACCCUUGUACUUAUUACACAUUUUAGUGUGUUGAACCAGCACUACAGUGGACUGUACCCGCCUCCAUUCAGAUUGCAACUUUGCAGGAUUAAAGAUGAAAUUUAAAGUAAA